rnacentral:lncRNA from 1 species
CCAGGGUGCUUUUUCACUGAGCCACAUUCCCAGUCCUUUUUGUUUUUAUUUUGAGACAGGGACUUGCUAAGUUGUUGAGAAACUCACUUAGUUGCUAAGGCUUGCCUAGAACUUACAGUCCUCUUGCCUCAGCCACCUCAGUUACUUGGAUUACCAGCUUACACUGCUGUACUCAUUAUCUGGAAUUCAUUAGAAAUAAAGAAUUUUAGGAAACAUCCCAGACUAGAUUAAUCAGUCCUGUGUUAUAACAAGAUCCCUACAUGGCUUGACACACACUUAAAAUUUGAGAUAUAUAUAUAUAUCAAUAAAAUGAGAAGAUAGAGUUAAACAAAAAGAAAAUGAAGCAUGGUCAAAAUACCAUCCAGCUUCCAGAUGUGGUGGCAUAUGCCUGUAAUCCCAGCAAUUGGGGAGGCUGAGGCAGAAGAAUGGCAAGUUCAAAGCCAAAUGUAGAGGGCUGGGGUUGUGGCUCAGUGGUAGAGCACUUGCAUAGUAUGUGUGAUGCCCUGGGGUCUACUCUCAGCACUGCAUGCAAAUAAAAUAAAGGUCUAUUGAUAACUAAAAAUAUAUUAAAAGGGGGGAAAAAGCCAGAUUCAGCAAUUUAGUGAGGCCCCUGAGUUCAAUUCCUGGUACCAAAACAAAACAAACAAAAAAACACCCAAAUAGUGACAGGCCCAGUUAGCAUUUGGCAUUUACUUCCAAACAUGGGAUCUUACUGAACAUCAUUUUGUAACCUACUCCUCUAAUGCAUUGCUAAUAUAUUACUGUGUCAACAAAUAUGUUUCAACAUAAAUUUAGAUGACUAAUUUGUAUUAUCAGUGAGUGUAUUCUGAUUUAAUCAUUACUCUCUAAUGGUCUUUCAAUUAAUUUUUAUUUCUUUACUUUAAUAA